CUACUCAGCAACAAAAAGCAACAAACCAGUGACAUAAGCAACAGCUUAUGUGAAUCUCACAGGCAUUAUGCUAAGUGAAAGAAGCCAAUCUCCAACGUUUCCCAUAUCACUCCAUGUAGAAAGAUGACACAACGGGAUGCAGAAUCACUGAUAGCAGGGGGUGGGGUGGGAGGAGGCAGUGACCAUAAAGCAACACCAUAAGGCAGUUCUCUGUAUUCUGAUUUUUAGGGUGAUUAUACAAAUCUGUGCAUGGAUUAAAAUUCAUAAAACUUUCCACCAGAAGAAGUCACAUUUUCUGUAUGACAAUUUUUAAUGAAAUUUAAAGUCACAGAAAAUUAAAAAAAUAAUUUUAAAAAAGGAUUUAAUCUUGCAGUGGCAAACUGGGCAAACUCACAUCCAUUUAUGACUAGAUGGGUGGCUUCCAUUGUCUUCAACGACUCUACUUUAAAAUGUUUCAUGUACCCAGGACUCAGAUCUUGCCAUCUAAGCCUUCCUAAUAUUUAUUGGAUCUCUGUACAUUUCCCACAUUCUUCACACAGUCCUCACAUCUCAAAGGAACCAGCAGAAAAUUAUCCUUGGGCUUAUUUAAUAGCAAAAAUUUUGGUAACAUCAGCAUCCAUUUCUGAACCCUUGCAAUGUGCCAAGGUCUUUCUGAGCUCCGCACAGGCAGAUUAUCAUACAGUCUUCACAGCAAGACUGAGCCCUGUGUUAAACCAUCACUUAACGGGGAACAAUGCUGAGACCCAGAGAUACCACUCUGCUAACAAACACAAAGCUCAGAUGGAAAAACCCAAGCUUUCCUGUCACCGGCUCUUAACAAGGACCCAUCCACGCUGUUUCCUCAAUGGCUUUGGUGGCCUGGCCUAGUUGCAUGGUGUGUGGACUCCUGCCCUGCUUUCCCUGGAGGGGUCCUCGGACAGGGCUAAGACGGGCUGCACUGGGCUCCCAGGAAAGCACCCCUGUGUGCUAGAGACAGGUGCACUGAGUAUGGACCCCUGAAAAGUUCGUUUGGGGACAUCAUCUGAGAGUCCAGGGAUUUUCCCAGCAGUUCCAGAGAGUUCUUUCUGUCUUUGCGUGUGUAGCCAUCACCUUAAACAGCCCAGUGGAGGAAGAAUGAACUAAUUAUAAUCCGUCUUUCCAGGUUCUAUUGCCUUUUCCUCUCCUCCUGACUAGUUAGUAACCAGUGUGUAUCCUGAUGAGACUUCCACGUUCCUGUUCUCACUUGUUCAUAUUCACAAGAAAUCAGAAAAUCACCUCAUUCUUUAGAUGCACAGGGUACUUACAUCCAAAUCUUUCCUUAUCUGCGUCAUCCGUCCUUUAAGUUUAUACCUGGAAAAACUGCAUCUCUAUAGAGGCCUAGUCACGCAGUAACCCUCCCAGGGACUGAUGAGUGAGUGAGCCUGGCUGAGUGAAGAUGGAAAGGGUCCGUUCUAAAGCCAUGGCAAAACUUCCCAGCAGAUGGCCCCAGGCCUGGCUGAGGUGGUAUGUCCAGAACCUUCCAUGAGUGUAGGAUGGAUUCCCAGAGCUCAGGGUUGGAGCAGCAUCCUGUUCUAACCCCAGCUACGCUCAGGCAGCCAACACAUCAGCACCACGCAUCAGGGCUGCUCCUUCCAAUUUAACAACACAGGUCUGGGAAAAGAAAUCACCUGGUGAACCAAGAAUAGGAAAGAGUAGGGUGGAAGAAAAAAAAACUUGACAGAGAGUCUGGAUUUGUCCGGGGAUAUUUUCCCAGCUCGGGCUUCCUGAUGACUCAGCUGCUCCUGCAUGGGGAAGCUCUCCCUCAGCCAGCACUGCCUGGGAGAUGAAGCCAGUGAUUUCCCACUAGCUAUCAGCCAGGACAAAAAUUACCAAUAAAAGGAUACACUUAAAUGUCCCCCCAGUAGAGACUAUUGUUUACUGGGCUAUUGAGGGAGUGAAAAUAUCAGAGCAAAGUCCAGAGAGAAGACAGACAAGAGAAUAGAGUCAAUGGACGAAAAGAAAAGAAAACAGGGAGACCAACUUGGCCAAAGAUGCAGAGAGGAAGACAAACAGAACCAGCAGGAAAAGAAAAGCCCCACGUCACAAGGACCUCCAUAUUCAGAUCAAUGCAGGCAUGUGUGUGAUAGACCCAAAAACCAAAUAGAAACCCUCAAAUCGCCUAAUUCCCAGAACAGGCAAAUUUUUGCCAAGUUCAUGAGUUGGCAGAGUUCUUGCAUAUUCCAUACAAUUUCAAUGAGAAGCUGUACCCAUCUUGUUCUAAGAGCAGAUUGUCAUUUUCCACUUGAAAUACACACAUUGCACUGA